rnacentral:rRNA from 1 species
CAGCAGCCGCGGUAAUACGAAGGGGGCUAGCGUUGUUCGGAUUUACUGGGCGUAAAGCGCACGUAGGCGGAUCGAUCAGUCAGGGGUGAAAUCCCAGAGCUCAACUCUGGAACUGCCUUUGAUACUGUCGAUCUGGAGUAUGGAAGAGGUGAGUGGAAUUCCGAGUGUAGAGGUGAAAUUCGUAGAUAUUCGGAGGAACACCAGUGGCGAAGGCGGCUCACUGGUCCAUUACUGACGCUGAGGUGCGAAAGCGUGGGGAGCAAACAGGAUUAGAUACCCCAGUAGCCCUGUCUCUUAUACC